GUUAGGUUAGUUUACUAAAAAAUACCAGCCUGUGGAUUUGGAGAAGAGAAAUUCACCUCACCUGACC
rnacentral:tRNA from 1 species